GACAGAGGGUGCGAACGUUGCUCGGAAUAACUGGGCGUAAAGCGCGUGUAGGUGGCCACGCGAGUCUGGCGUGAAAGCCCAGGGCUCAACCCUGGAAGUGCGCUGGAUACUACGUGGCUAGAGUGCAGGAGAGGCAAGCGGAAUUCCCGGUGUAGAGGUGAAAUUCGUAGAUAUCGGGAGGAACACCAGUGGCGAAGGCGGCUUGCUGGACUGCGACUGACACUGAGACGCGAAAGCGUGGGUAGCAAACAG
rnacentral:rRNA from 1 species